rnacentral:rRNA from 1 species
GACGGAGGAUGCAAGUGUUAUCCGGAAUCACUGGGCGUAAAGCGUCUGUAGGUGGUCAAAUAAGUCAACUGUUAAAUCCUGAGGCUCAACCUCAAAAUCGCAGUCGAAACUAUUCGACUAGAGUAUAGUAGGGGUAAAGGGAAUUUCCAGUGGAGCGGUGAAAUGCGUAGAGAUUGGAAAGAACACCGAUGGCGAAGGCACUUUACUGGGCUAUUACUAACACUGAGAGACGAAAGCUAGGGUAGCAAAUGGG